AAGCUCGUAGUUGAAUUUCGGGCUUAUUAGGUUGGUCAUGCCUCUGGUAUGUACUGGUCUCACUGAUUCCUCCUUCCUUAUGAACCGUAAUGCCAUUAAUUUGGUGUUGCGGGAAAUUUGGACUGUUACUUUGAAAAAAUUAGAGUGUUUAAAGCAAGCUAACGCUUGAAUACAUUAGCAUGGAAUAAUGAAAUAGGACGUUCGAUCUUAUUUUGUUGGUUUCUAGGAUUGACGUAAUGAUUAAUAGGGAUAGUUGGGGGCAUUAGUAUUCAAUUGUCAGAGGUGAAAUUCUUGGAUUUAUUGAAGACUAACUACUGCGAAAGCAUUUGCCAAGGAUGUUUUCAUUAAUCAAGAACGAAAGUUAGGGGAUCGAAGACGAUCAGAUACCGUCGUAGUCUUAACCAUAAACUAUGCCGACUAGGGAUCGGAUGAUGUUAAUUUUUUAAUGACUCAUUCGGCGCCUUACGGGAAACCAAAGUGUUUGGGUUCCGGGGGGAGUAUGGUCGCAAGGCUGAAACUUAAAGGAAUUGACGGAAGGGCACCACCAGGGGUGGAGCCUGCGGCUUAAUUUGACUCAACACGGGGAAA
rnacentral:rRNA from 1 species